rnacentral:rRNA from 1 species
AACGAACGUUGGCGGCAUGGAUUAGGCAUGUAAGUCGAGGGAUUCCCAGCAAUGGGGGAACCGGCGUAAGGGGCUGUAAGGCAUGGGUAUCUAUCCAGGGGUUCGGAAUAGCCACCAGAGAUGGUGGGUAAUACCGGAUGAUGUCGUGAGACCAAAGGUCCGCCGCCCUUGGAGGAGCCCAUGUGAUAUUACCUAGUUGGUGAGGUAACGGCACACCAAGGCGAAGAUGUAUAGCGGGUGUGAGAGCACGACCCGCGCCACUCGCACUGAGACACUUGCGAGACACCUACGGGUGGGUGCAGUUGAGGAUAUUUGGCAAUGGGGGCAACCCUGACCGAGCGAUGCCGCGUGCGCGAUGAAGUCAUUCGGGUUGUAAAGCUCGAAAGUGGGGAGAAAAGCCCGCAAGGGUGUGAUCUAUCCACAGUAAGCUCGGGAUAAGUUGGUGC